UUUUGGGGUGAGAAAGUGGUUUAACAUUCUGUGGUGCAUCUUUCUUUUUUGCAGGUGAUGAGGGACCUGCUGACUGUGGGACUCGUGGAGUUGAUGAACUGUGGAGCUUUCUUUAAAGGAGGAUGUCCUGAGACCUGUGGCCCCUGAAAGCUAAAUGCAGGGAGAGGAGCCACGCAGCAGAGGGUGAUGGAGGAGAGGAGCAGAGCGCGGUGAGGAGCUGGGUCGGUGCGUAUUGAAGAGUCUGGGUGAGUUGUCCCCUGGGUUGUGAGGGAAGGUGUGACUGGUGCCUCUAUCGACUGGCUCAUGGUUUGGGUUUGUUUUGUAGGUGCAAAGCACCAAGGGAAGCGGGAGAUCUGCACUGGAGGUGACUCGAGCAAGGCAGCACACAGGGCUGGACGUGGCACCCUGUGACCAUCAGAGGCCGGACAGGUGAGCCACGAAGUUUUGCAGCCUUGGAGCAGUGGAGCAGCAUGCCAACGGGCCAUCUGUGGAGAUGACACAGGUGUCAGCCAGAUGCCACAAGCAAGGAUGGCCUCAGCAUCUGAUUCUGGAACCAGCAGAUCACUAUGAGGAGCCUGGCGAUGGCAGGAACAUCCCAGCGAGAACGGCUUGUCGAGGAGGAAGGCUGCGGAGCCCUGGCCAUCUGAAAGCUAAGUGGAGGGGCUGGGAGGAGGGGA